AUGAACUGGCCGGGCACCGGGCCGGAAGGCCCUGGCAGGGCCGCAAGGCCACAUGCAGGCAGUGGCUCCUCCUCUAGCUGCUCGGAUCUACACCGUCGGUGGUCCGCCGACAGAUACACGAAUGGCGGGCGGUCGGGCUCGGUGCUAGCCCAAAAGCUCGUCGGCGCACCGUUGCCGCUCAUUAAGUGCGACCACUGCCCAAAGAAGGUUGUGCGCCGCGUGUCUACAACGCCGGAACAUCCCGGAUGGGUGUUCAUCAAGUGCUUAAACGAUGGGGUAUGUGCUUUUUUUAAGCUUCGGUUUGUGCUCUAG
rnacentral:rRNA from 1 species